CUAGCUGGUCUGAGAGGAUGAUCAGCCACACUGGAACUGAGACACGGUCCAGACUCCUACGGGAGGCAGCAGUGGGGAAUAUUGCACAAUGGACGAAAGUCUGAUGCAGCCAUGCCGCGUGUGUGAAGAAGGCCUUCGGGUUGUAAAGCACUUUCAGCGAGGAGGAAAGGUCAGUAAGUAAUAUUUGCUGGCUGUGACGUUACUCGCAGAAGAAGCACCGGCUAAUUUAGUGCCAGCAGCCGCGGUAAUACUAAAGGUGCAAGCGUUAAUCGGAAUUACUGGGCGUAAAGCGCGCGUAGGUGGUUUGUUAAGUUGGAUGUGAAAGCCCAGGGCUCAACCUUGGAACUGCAUUCAAAACUGACUCACUAGAGUACGAGAGAGGUUAGUGGAAUUUCCUGUGUAGCGGUGAAAUGCGUAGAGAUGGGAAGGAACACCAGUGGCGAAGGCGACUGACUGGCUCGAUACUGACACUGAGGUGCGAAAGCGUGGGGAGCAAACGGGAUUAGAUACCCCGGUAGUCCACGCCGUAAACGAUGUCUACUAGCCGUUGGAGGACUUGAUCCUUUAGUGGCGCAGCUAACGCGAUAAGUAGACCGCCUGGGGAGUACGGUCGCAAGAUUAAAACUCAAAUGAAUUGACGGGGGCCCGCACAAGCGGUGGAGCAUGUGGUUUAAUUCGAAGCAACGCGAAGAACCUUACCUACUCUUGACAUCCAGUGAACUUAGCAGAGAUGCUUUGGUGCCUUCGGGAACACUGAGACAGGUGCUGCAUGGCUGUCGUCAGCUCGUGUUGUGAAAUGUUGGGUUAAGUCCCGUAACGAGCGCAACCCUUGUCCUUAGUUACCAUCAUUUAGUUGGGGACUCUAAGGAGACUGCCGGUGACAAACCGGAGGAAGGCGGGGACGACGUCAAGUCAUCAUGGCCCUUACGAGUAGGGCUACACACGUGCUACAAUGGCAUGUACAAAGGGUUGCCAAGCCGCGAGGUGGAGCUAAUCCCAUAAAGCAUGUCGUAGUCCGGAUUGGAGUCUGCAACUCGACUCCAUGAAGUCGGAAUCGCUAGUAAUCGUGAAUCAGAAUGUCACGGUGAAUACGUUCCCGGGCCUUGUACACACCGCCCGUCACACCAUGGGAGUGGGUUGCUCCAGAAGUAGAUAGCUUAACCUAGCUUGCUAGGAGGGCGUUUACCACGGAGUGAUUCAUGACUGGGGUGAAGUCGUAACAAGGUAGCCCUAGGGGAACCUGGGGCUG
rnacentral:rRNA from 1 species